ACCAGACUGCUGCAGGGACCACUCUUUGUUAGGGCUGCUACAGCAGUCCAGCUGGCACAAGGGGGUAGUGUCCCCAGAUACCAACUGUCUGGGCCUCAGAAACUCCUGACGGCAAGUAGCCCUGAGCUGCUCACCAGG